UACGUAGGGUGCAAGCGUUGUUCGGAAUUACUGGGCGUAAAGCGCGCGUAGGCGGGCUUAUAAGUUGAUUGUGAAAUCCCCGGGCUUAACCUGGGACGUGCAGUCAAAACUGUAAGCCUUGAAUGUCUGAGAGGAUGGCGGAAUUCCCGGUGAUAGUAGUGAAAUACGUAGAUAUCGGGAAGAACACCUGAGGCGAAGGCGGCUAUCUGGCGGUACAUUGACGCUGAGGCGCGAAAGCGUGGGGAGCAAACAGG
rnacentral:rRNA from 1 species